rnacentral:lncRNA from 1 species
AUUACUGCCUAAUAUAAGGAAUUCUGUUGAAUUCUAAUGCAGGUAUAAGUGUAGGAGCCAAUUUUAGAAAGGCCCCUUGUAGCAGCUCCGGAAAUUCAUAAUGAAAUGUAUAUUAAAAAUAUCAAAUGCGGAAGCGAAGUCAAAAUUUGAAUAACAUCCCUUACACCAAAAUCAAAAACGUGCUCACAAAAUAUAAAAGAUCAAACUAUCUAAGGGAGAAACUUGAAAGUAAAAACUACGAAUGUGACUAUGGAGUCUUUAGGCGUCCCCUUCGUCGUCCUCCUGCUGAACCGGCUCGGGAACGAUGUCCUCUUGAUCUGAAAUGAUUAAAUAAGAAAUGAGCUACACUAGCCCAGUAAAGACAUCACGAUAUCUCACCGUCACGGAGGUAAAGGUGGGUAGAAA